GACGUAGGGCGCGAGCGUUGUCCGGAUUUAUUGGGCGUAAAGAGCUCGUAGGCGGUUUGUCGCGUCUGCUGUGAAAUCCCGAGGCUCAACCUCGGGUCUGCAGUGGGUACGGGCAGACUGGAGUGCGGUAGGGGAGAAUGGAAUUCCUGGUGUAGCGGUGGAAUGCGCAGAUAUCAGGAGGAACACCGAUGGCGAAGGCAGGUCUCUGGGCUGACACUGACGCUCAUGCACGAAAGCGUGGGGAGCAAACGGG
rnacentral:rRNA from 1 species